UCAUUCGAGGAGUAGUGAAACAACUAACGAGACUGCUCCCUCUGAACAGUCAUCGAAAUGGGUACAAUUUAAACCCUUUAACGAGGAUCAAUGAGAGGGCAAGUCUGGUGCCAGCAGCCGCGUAAUUCCAGCUCUCAGGGUAUAUGUCAUUAUUGCUGCGGUUAAAAAGCUCGUAGUUGGAUCUGAGCCUUUGGGUACGGUUCAUCUUCUGAUGAUACUGUGUCCGGGGUUAAUUUCGUCGGUUCUCCGGCGAGAGUUACUCUGAAUAAAUCAGAGUGCUCAAAACAAGCGUUUCGUUGAAUGUUUUUGCAUGGAAUAAUGGAAAAGGACUUCGGUUCCUUACUGUUGGUUUCGGAAUUGGAUUAAUGAUUAAGAGGGACCAACGGGGCAUGCGUACCGCUACGGAGAGGUGAAAUUCAUGGACCGUAGCGUGACGAACUAAAGCGAAAGAUUUGAUAGGAAUGUCUUCAUUAAUCAAGACG
rnacentral:rRNA from 1 species